AGUGAACGCUGGCGGUAUGCCUAACACAUGCAAGUCGAACGGCAGCACAGUGAGCGCGUGCUCUUACGGGUGGCGAGUGGCGGACGAGUGAGGAAUACGUCGGAAUCUACUUUUUCGGGGGGGAUAACGGAGGGAGACUUACGAUAAUACCUCAUACGACCAAAGAGUGAAAUCAGGGUAGAUUGAUACCUUGGGCUAUUGAAUAGGUGGUUCUGCGAUUAGUUAGUUGGCGGGGUAAAGGCCAGCCAAGCCGACGUUCGGUAGCUGGUCUGCGUGGAUGAUCACCCACACUGGAACUGAACACCGCUCCAGAUUCCUCGGGGAGGCACCAGUGGGGAAUAUUGGACAAUGGGCGCAAUCCUGACCCAGCACUCCCGCGUGGGUGAAGAAGGCCUUCGGGUUGUAAAGUCCUUUUGUUGGGAAAGAAGAGCAGGAGGUUAAUAACCCGCUGUUCUGACGGUACCUAAAGAAUAAGCAACGGCUAACUUCGUG
rnacentral:rRNA from 1 species